GACGCCGCGUGAGGGAUGACGGCCUUCGGGUUGUAAACCUCUUUCAGUAGGGAAGAAGCGAAAGUGACGGUACCUGCAGAAGAAGCGCCGGCUAACUACGUGCCAGCAGCCGCGGUAAUACGUAGGGCGCAAGCGUUAUCCGGAUUUAUUGGGCGUAAAGAGCUCGUAGGCGGUUUGUCGCGUCUGCCGUGAAAGUCCGAGGCUCAACCUCGGAUCUGCGGUGGGUACGGGCAGACUAGAGUGAUGUAGGGGAGACUGGAAUUCCUGGUGUAGCGGUGAAAUGCGCAGAUAUCAGGAGGAACACCGAUGGCGAAGGCAGGUCUCUGGGCAUUUACUGACGCUGAGGAGCGAAAGCAUGGGGAGCGAACAGGAUUAGAUACCCUGGUAGUCCAUGCCGUAAACGUUGGGCACUAGG
rnacentral:rRNA from 1 species